UUAACUUACGUAAUACAUAAAUAUACACUUGAAAAUCCCGCUGCCUGAAUUGGUUUACACCCAUUAGAUAAUUUAUACUUGAUAUAUAUUAUCUAUUUUAGUAAACGCAAUUUAUUGUCAACUUUAGAGUUCAAGAACAACAAAAUAGAUAGGAGUUGGAUGAAUUUGUCAAGGGUAAGCAACGACUAUCGAAAUGGAG
rnacentral:lncRNA from 1 species